rnacentral:rRNA from 1 species
GACGAACGCUGGCGGCGUGCCUAAUACAUGCAAGUAGAACGCACAGUUUAUACCGUAGCUUGCUACACCAUAAACUGUGAGUUGCGAACGGGUGAGUAACGCGUAGGUAACCUGCCUGGUAGCGGGGGAUAACUAUUGGAAACGAUAGCUAAUACCGCAUAAUAUUGAUUAUUGCAUGAUAAUUGAUUGAAAGAUGCUAUUGCAUCACUACCAGAUGGACCUGCGUUGUAUUAGCCAGUAGGUGAGGUAACGGCUCACCUAGGCGACGAUACAUAGCCGACCUGAGAGGGUGAUCGGCCACACUGGGACUGAGACACGGCCCAGACUCCUACGGGAGGCAGCAGUAGGGAAUCUUCGGCAAUGGACGAAAGUCUGACCGAGCAACGCCGCGUGAGUGAGGAAGGUUUUCGGAUCGUAAAGCUCUGUUGUAAGAGAAGAACGGGUGUGAGAGUGGAAAGUUCACACUGUGACGGUAUCUUACCAGAAAGGGACGGCUAACUACGUG